GAUAUGUGACUAGGGCUACUUGCUCUGCCAGCCAUAAGAAGUUUGUCUGGUAAAGAGAUACUAUGUUAUUGUCAUUCAAGCAGAGAUCCAUGAUCAGGGAGAAACAGCAGGGAAACAGAGCCAUCCCAAGUCCUGCUCCUCAUCAUGACAUAUUAAGUACAUUCUGGAUACAUAAGGAUACAUAUGGAUGCAUAGAACAGAGGGUGUCUGAAAGGAUGGGAUCAAGGCUGAUCCUCCCAGCAUCUGUCUCUCAAUCAUAAGCCUAAUCAAAGAGCUGGUAAAGGAAGCCAGAUGGAGAUUGAUGUGGGUAAAUUCUGAUGCUGUUGGUGUGCCUGGAUCCAACUGUGCCUGAAGAUGCUUGCCACAUCUAAAUGCCAGCUAAAGAGGGAAUCAAUGGCACAAUCUGGAAAGAAGUUCAAUCAACGUGCCCUGGAAAGAGGACCUGGAAAAGGGCUUUGGUGUCCAUAAGUUCAUCUUCAGAGUACUGGAAUCAGCUGUAGGUUUAAGCAGGAAAGAAUCAGGCAAGGUGAAUGGUUUUACACAGUGCACAUGAGAUUCUCCCUACACCAGAAGUGGAUGCCGAGAUAGAAAGAGGAUUAAUAGAAUUCUCUGACAUUUUUCUCAGUUAGAUCAUCUGCAAUUAACUUAGCAACACCAGGUGACUACAGUAGGAUGGGCCAAGAAGCAUACAACCGGAGUCUGACAACACAGAAAAUACAAAUAAACUGAAGGACAUCUCACAAA